UGCUCUAUGCUAAAAAGACAGGAUUCAGAUGCUGUGGCCACCUGUACUACAACACCUCUCUGUGGUCGUGUUGUGCAGGGGAGCUAAGUCCAGUGCACCAGCCAGGACAGCGUUGGGCCGGGAGGAUCACAGAAUUUAUAUUUCCAUCAGUGAACAAUCUGAACAAAACAUAUCUUUGUGGAGAAAUGAAAAUCGGGAUUUUGGAAAGCGUGUCUCUGCACAGCAUCGUGUUCAGUAAUGUGCUGAAAAUCCAUGGGACAAAUGCCACAGUGAAAGCUCUGCCAUCGCCUUACAUUCUGAAAAGACCUGCUAGCUGCAACUCCCCUAAACUGAUCCCUGGCAAAACCUACAUCUUUGAUGAAGUUAAUGUCUUCACUGAUUUCAACCAUGACUCUUCUCUUCAGUCACUCCAUUUCAUUAUUUCCAAAUGUCGUCAUGCUUAGGUCACCACUUGCUCAUCUGUUCCUAUGUUGGAUAACUUGAAAAAUGCUAUCAGUUACUCAAGCUAUUUCAGUUACUCAAGCUAUUUCAGUUACUCAAGCUAUUUCAGUUACUCAAGCUACAUCAGUUACUCGCUGAAAAAAUAAUUACAUUACUAUAAUUCAUUAACAGCAGUUUUAAUUUAUUUAUCACAUUACUUUCUAUUACUCAGUGUAGCUCCCUAAAAUGUGCCUUUCAACAACUCCAUAAUCCUCCACGCCUAUGUCACAUCUUCUGUGAUAUGUGACAAUGGCUUCACAUGCAGCCAGUGUACAGUUGAGAGGUAUUCACUAAUCCUUAACAGCUGGCAGCUCCAGGCCGCAUUCAGGAUGUAGCACUGGAAAUAUUUGUUUCUACAUCUACGCCCACUUAUUGUUCCGCUGUGAGUGGGUGAAACAGACACCAGUUAUACUUUCCACCUCUCUUUUUUCAUUUUUCACAGAACUAUUUCUGUCAUUUUUAAUGUGAACAUACAGGUGCAACAUAAUGACUGUCUUCCUGGAGAGACUGUCUGAAAUUAUAAACCAGACUUUUUCAGUUGGCCUUUGAGCAUGGCUGUUCGGAACAACUCUAAACACAUGAUUUCCGCUGUGGUUGGACAGCACUACUUCUGAGAGACCAUCAACCUGCCCUUACUUAACAUUCUUGGAUCUGCUCAGGGAUAAACAUCAAAUAAGCCAACUCCCUGAAAUGACCGAGUACAGCAGCAUUACUCUGAUUAUUAACUACAAUGUUGUACUGAGUUACACGGUACAAUCACUCACACUACGUUUUACUGAAUACAGUAAUCAGUACAGUUACAGUGGCCAAAAUAGUGCAUGGUACUCAUCUCUACAGUGUGAAGUAGUACUAUGAUUAUUACUAUCAAAAGAUAGGCAACAGCUAGAGCAGUAAAAGCUGAGUGCAAAAUUUGCAUCCCCCUUAGACCCUGGGUGAAAUAUCAAAAAAUCUAUCUAUAUAGUACAGUUGAGCUUCAAAAUAGCGUUCCAUAAUUAUCUAAAUAUGUUUCCCACUAAAGACUAAAGAUUGUGAAAAUAGCUGAAUCCAAGUCCAAAUGUAUCUUAAAUACCAAGCUCAAAAGUUUACAUCCCCUUUCAUGAAUGCUCUAGGUAAUUAAUUUUAAUAUUUAAAAUCAGGUGUCUGGUCUUUAAAAUACAUUGUCACCACUUAAUGCUUGAUGAGUGGCAACGAGUGUGUUCAAUUAGGUUUGCGUUUUAUAUUUGCAAGUUGGUAUAAAUGUCCAACAUGUUAAUGCAGUUUGCUGAGUGCAACAACAACAAUGGGAGCAGGGGAACAGCUUUCAGAAGACCUCAAAAUUAAACUGGUAAACUUUCAUAACCUGGAGAGGGAUAUAAAUAUAUUUGAAAGCGUUUUGGGAUACCACUACCAACUGUGAAGACCAUAAUCCAGAAAUAGGACAAGAAACAUGGACACUAAGACUAAGACUCUACUAUGGAGUGCAAGAAAAAGCUGCUAGAAAACUUGCUCUACAGCUAUGUAAGAAUCAGAAAACAAACAGCAGGUGACCAGAAAAAAUCCUUAAAGGCAAAUUGAAUAUAAGUUUACAUCUCCACAGUCAAGCGCAGCCUGCACAAGUCUAAAAUGUUUGAGACAAAAGCAGGCAAGAAGCCAUUGCUUACUUCUAGACACAAGGCAGCAUCCUCAAAGGAUGCCAAAGAGCAUGUGAACAAGCCAAAUGAGUUUUGGUACAUUAUGUGGUCUGAUGAGAUCAAAGUUGAACUAUUUGUUCAUAAUUCAAAUGGGUAUGUAUGAAAAAACUCCUAUGAGAAGAGGAACACCAUUCCCAGUCAAACAUGGGGGAGGCUUGCUGAUGUUUUGGGGGUGUCUGUCUGCAUCGGGCACUGGAGCUUUGCAUAAAGUGGAAGGAAGAAUGAUUGCAGGCCAAUAGAUUUUAAAGCAAAGCCCCCUACAACAAGUCUAGAAGCUGAAAAUGAAGAGACAGGACAAAACAAUGACCCAAAUUACAGAUCAAAGUCAAUUCAGGAAUGGUUUAAAAAGAAUAAGGUGAGAGUUUUGCCAUGGCCUUCCCAGUGUCCAGACUUGAAUAUAGUCUAUCCUGUGGAUAGAUUUGAGAAAGGUCGUACAGGAGAAGCAACCAAGCAAUUUUCUAGACUUGGAACAAAUAUACCACGAAGACUAGUCUAAACUUACACCUGAGAGGAUGCAGAAGCUGCUCAGAGGGUAUCCAGGGAGGAUGGAGGAGGUUAUAAAGGCAAAGGGAGGAUUUUCAAAGUAUUGUAAAGUAUUAAUGACAAAAUUUCAUAAAAGGGGUGCAAACUUUUGGACUGAUAUAAUUUUUAUUAUUUCACUAAAAUAUUCUUUUUAUGCACUCUUUGAACAUUUUUGUUACUUUUGAGGAUGAAGGAACAUUUCUGCCAAUUGAACAUGUGUCAGAUAUUGUGUUGAUGAAAACAAAUAUCUUUGUUUUACUCUUUUUGUCAUUUAACAUUAAGGGGAUGCACUCAACCAACUGUAGCUGUAAUGUUAGCAGGGACCAUAAAGUCUGACCUAAACAGCUAUUAGCUAAUAUUUCAUUUUUUUAUAUUAUGUGAUGAUGAUGAUCAUUACUGGUUUUAUGUUACUUUGAUUUUUGCACUGAACUACAUACUAACUGGCAACUGUUUGCACAUGUCCUUGACUCAGUUGUAUGUUUACAUGUAAAUGAUGUGAUGAUUUAUCCUGUCACGAUUGAUGAAUUUAGAAAUUAAGAAUAAGCAUUUCAUCAAACCUCUGUCAUCCAAAGAUUCCACUGUGGUGCCUUGAAUGUUUCUCCAUAAAUAACAAUUUUUGUUGAAUUCAGAAUGCAGUCAUUUUUUAUGUGAAUGUGAUUCACAUGGGCACUGAGCAUGUCCUUUAAUUAAUAAAGCAGUCAUAGUGUUA